rnacentral:rRNA from 1 species
AGCGAACGCUGGCGGCAGGCCUAACACAUGCAAGUCGAACGAACCUUUCGGGGUUAGUGGCGGACGGGUGAGUAACACGUGGGAACGUGCCUUUAGGUUCGGAAUAACUCAGGGAAACUUGUGCUAAUACCGAAUGUGCCCUUCGGGGGAAAGAUUUAUCGCCUUUAGAGCGGCCCGCGUCUGAUUAGCUAGUUGGUUGAGGUAAUGGCUCACCAAGGCGACGAUCAGUAGCUGGUCUGAGAGGAUGAUCAGCCACAUUGGGACUGAGACACGGCCCAAACUCCUACGGGAGGCAGCAGUGGGGAAUCUUGCGCAAUGGGCGAAAGCCUGACGCAGCCAUGCCGCGUGAAUGAUGAAGGUCUUAGGAUUGUAAAAUUCUUUCACCGGGGACGAUAAUGACCGUACCCGGAGAAGAAGCCCCGGCUAACUUCGUG